rnacentral:tRNA from 1 species
GAUGCCAUAGCUCAAUUGGAUAGAGUAUCGGUUUUCUAAACCGACGGUUGAAGGUUCGAUUCCUUCUGGCAUCA